GCCGCAAAUGAAGAAACCUGAUGUUUUCAUUUUCUCAGAAAGCUUGGGAGCACAUGAAUGACUUCCACGGGGCUUUCUGAAUUGCUGGGGCCUUCACCCUUCCAUGUGGGACUCUCAAGAUGCAGGGAACCAGGAUGAGGAUGCCCAGCUUGGAGAUGGCUGUGUUAGCCAGACAAGCACUUCCUGAUUUGCCAGUCCCUGGAGAGGUCCUGCCAGCCUGUUCACAGCUGCUGCAAAGGACAGGCCCAUCGCAAAGCCUCACCCCAAAACAUGGACAACAGGAGCAGCGGAGGCACUAGGUCCUGUCUCCAUGUGGCAAGAAGACACGUUCAUCUGCAGACAGCUACAGUCAUCCAAAGAAGAGAGAAGAAGCUCCAUCUAGUUUGUUAAGAGAUGCAUUUCCAGGCUGGGUGUGGUGGCUCAUGCCUGUAAUCCCAGUACUUUGGGAGGCCGAGGCAGGUGGAUCAUUUGAGGCCAGGAGUUCUAGACCAGCCUGGCCAAUAUGGUAAAUUCUUGCCCCUACUAAAAAUCUAAAAGAUUAGCCGGGCAUGAUGGCGUGCAUCUAUAGUCCCAGCUAGUCGAGAGGCUGAGGCAGGAGAAUCACUUUGAACCUGGGAGGGGAGGUUGCAGUGAGCUGAGAUUGCACCACUGCACUCCAGCCUGUGCAACAGAGGUGUGUUUUAAAAUAAAUAAGUAAAUAAAAAGAUUCAUUUCCAGUGAAACUGAGCUUUUUAUGUUGAAAAAUUAUUUAUCAAAAGUUAUGAAAUAUUUGUUUUGAUCAAUUGCAUACUAAUAAUUGCAAUAAUAAUCCAGAUAAGCUUUUUCCUUUUUUUUUUUUCUUUUGAGACUGACUCUUACUCUGUCGCCCAGGUUGGAGUGCAGUGGCUCAAUCUUGGCUCACUGCAACCUCUGUCGCCUGGGUUCAAGCGAUUCUCCUGAUUCAGCCUCCCAAGUAGCUGGGAUAACAGGCUCCUGCCAUUGUGCCCGGCUAAUUUUUGUAUUUUGUAGAAAUCCUG
rnacentral:lncRNA from 1 species